rnacentral:tRNA from 1 species
GCCCAGCUAGCUCAGUCGGUAGAACAUGAGACUCUUAAUUUCAGGGUCUUGGGUUUGUAUCCCACGUUGGACA